CAAAUGUAACCAGGAGUUCUUUUAUUUUUAUUUGCUAAAUCUGGAAACUCACAAAGGAGGUGGGAUGAUGGCAUUGCCAGCAUCCUCAGGCUACCAACGACACCAGGAACCUUCCCGGCAGCAUCUUAUGCUCCCCCUGACGUGGGCCAGGCCACGACGCCAAAGUGCAGGCCGGCAAAAGCCAGUAUCCUGGGCCAGGAGGACCUCAGGAACCCAGGAUCUGAUCACUACGGCCCUUGGUUUAUGCCGUAUGCUCACGACUGGGCCAGUGUGUUUCUUCUUAUGUGCGUAUGUGUAUAAUAAACCCUGUGAGCCGACCACCAACACGAGAACCACAGCAUCGUCCAUCACUUGCUUCUACUGAGGGCCUGUGCUCUCCCUCACCCAGGUGACCACACUCCUGAAUCCUGCAUUUAAACUAAAAGGACAACUAUAUAGUUUUUCAUAUGUAGGUAUUUGAAAAGGUAUGAUGUUUAGUUUUACUGUUUUUUAAAUUUCAUUUUUCGUUUCUCUUUCCAUCGUUCCUGGAACCAUGUUGAGUCAGGCUUGCUGUGACGCCAGCAAGAUGGGUGAGCAGAGGGUCUGCACAGUGAGUGGCGAGCUGGGGUCUGAACCCCAGCCUGUGCAGCUCUGCGGCUGCGCUCCCUUAGCUCUGGGCAGCUGGUGCCCCGAUCAGCUCCAGUGGGCAGGCUGGGUCUGCCUCGCCCAACACAGAAUCACCAGGGGCUGGUGCAUGGAAGGUGCCUAUUUGUUGAGUGAAAUCGUUUCCUGAUGUCUACACAUAUCAGAAU
rnacentral:lncRNA from 1 species